rnacentral:rRNA from 1 species
AUGGCCCUUAUGGGCUGGGCUACACACGUGCUACAAUGGCGGUGACAGAGGGAAGCCGAGGUCGCGAGGCCGAGCCGAUCCCUAAAAGCCGUCUCAGUUCAGAUCGUACCCUGCAACUCGGGUACGUGAAGGUGGAAUCGCUAGUAAUCGCGGAUCAGCAUGCCGCGGUGAAUACGUUCCCGGGUCUU